rnacentral:precursor_RNA from 15 species
AAAAGAAAACAUGGAGAGAGAUGGCGGGUCAAGCCCUUUUUCUGGUAGUUGAGUGAUUUUACACAACUGCUGCUAAUUAAAGGCUUGCUUCUUCAUCUCAGAUCACAAGAUCCUUCAC